AGUUGCGUAGAGAAGUGAUUAUUUUUUCCGAUUAAUUUUAAAAACAUUGCUUCCACAGUUCGUUAUAAUUUAAGAUCGAAGACGCUUCUCUUUAUUCUAUACACUUCGGUUCGAAAAGUUACCUGAAGACGCUGAAAAUUGUACUCAUCGUAUUCUCUAUAAAUCAGGAUAUGGAAACUGAAUUUCUUAAAACUAAACGCUCCCAAUCGAACUAACGCCAGUUUGUCUUGAGCUAAAUACCUAGUCAAAUUCGAUUUCUGAUUGAAAAUGUCUGUUCUGUUUCCCUGAAACCUCUCAUUUACACCAAAUACGGAAAUGGACUUUAAGCUAUAGACCUGACCUCAUUUUGCUAAUUAUGAACAUACCAACUCUCUACAAAUUUCUGUUGGAACGUGUAUAAAAUGAAUCCUCAUAUCGGCGCUCCUCAUCGUCGUCGAAAUCGCCGAAGUUAUUGUUGCCACUCACGUGACUCUUCAAUGAGUCUGAAGACCAGGUAUAAGAAGAGAGUGGAGAGUUGCUCGAGCCACGCCUGAAAGGUGAUGUAGCCGAGCUGUAAGACCACGGAUGUGAAGCGUCACUAUGACCCCUGUUGGGAGACGGUGGACGGCGAUUGAUGCCAUAAUUUUCUUCAUUUUGAUGUGAGUGGAAAGAAGACUGAUGCUGCGAGUGUUGAGCGGGAUAAUGAUGUUGGAAGUGAUCGUGUGGCGGUGCUGGAUGUGGCGGUUGUUGUUGAUGAUGAUGCUCGUGAUAGUCAUCGUGAUUGUCUGGUUGCUGUUGUGGUUGUUGUGCGUAGUUGUCAUUUGGACGACUGUCAUGAUAGUGUUGUUGUUGUUGAAACUGGUUGUGUGCGUGGUGCUCAUGUUGUUGUAUCUGUGAUGGUGGUUGUUGUUGUGAUACUUGAGCGUCGUACUCUUCUUCCUCAAAUUGUCCGGGUGCAUAUGGGCGAUGUUGGUGUUGCUGAUGUUGUUGUUGCAACUGUUGCUGAUAAUAAUGUUGUUGGUUCAAGCUGGUGGCCGAGUUUAUUGUUUGAUUAGGGUAUAGAUGUGGUGGCUCAUAGAAUUCGGGACGUGGAUUAGCAGUAAUUAUUGUUGGUGUUGGUGAAAAAGGAUAACUGUCACCAUGAUUACUAGCACCAUACCCUUGAUUGUUGUUAUUGCUGUGCAUAUUGUUGUUGUGUUGGUUUUGAAUCACAGCCGCACCACCUUGAUGCUGCUGUCCAUUGUUAACACCGUUGGUGCCAUAACUGUAUUGCGGCUCUGCGGGUCGUUGAUUGUCAAUAAUGCCGCUGCCGUGAUUGUUAUUAUUGUUGUUAUUAAUCUGAUUGUUGCUACUAGUAACACCAGCGCUGCCAGCAUAAUUGGUGCCAACAUUCACUGCGCUCGACACUCCAGCGCCAACACCAACUGCGACUCCGCCGCCCCCACCGUCGCUAUACGGCGAUGUUUGCAGCGUCACACUGUCCAAACCGGGCGCACCUGCCACCACUGAGCUGCUGCCCGCCGACACCAGCGUCUCCGGCUGAACGACAAUGUUCGCACCCGAUGUGAACGCGGACGCCGGCGAACUGCUCUGCUCGCGUGAGUUCAUUUCCGCCAAUUUGGUGUUGCGAUUGCGCAUCAUAUUCGACGUCAUCACCAUCACUGUGGGAUUAAUCGCCUCCAUGUUCUCCUUGAGACAGUUCUGCAGCAAAUUAACAAAGAAGAAGAACGCCAACAAUGUGAGUGCGUUCAUUGUGGACGCAUUACUUUGACUAGCUGUAUGCUUCUUUUUGACAAAGCCCUUAGUCGGCGCAGUGGGAUGGGGACGCGAAUAGUACUUGGGCGGUGGCGGUGCAUAGCCACCGUAACCGCUACCAGCUGUGGCGUGAUGUGAAUACGAGCCACCUGUGGGCACAUGCACAGGUCCGGCAGGAUGAUAAUCAUCACCGCCGGCUCCUGAUCCAUAGGGGGCACCAUAACUGUUUUUCAGUUAGAAAAGCAUAAGUAAUUAAUGUACGUGUGGAAUAGUUUGAGUUUCAAUACUUACCCAUAACCAGAGUGUCCAGUACCACCACCAGUGCCGGUUGUGCCUCCGCCCCAACCAGUGCCUCCGCCACCUCCACUCGGAUACAAGCCAUGCAAAUUGGUAGCUUCACUCAUCUCGCCCAUCUCCGGAGACAUUGGGUACAUCAUAUGACCUGGAUAUCUAGCGCGAUCCUCGGCAUUUCUGUAAUAGAGUUGGAAAGGAAACACAAAUGGCUAGUAAGUGUUUUCUUAUGGUAAUUAUUGAAACAAAAGUAAACGACAUUUCUUUUAAAAGUAUCAUAUUUUGACACACAAAUUCUGCAACUCAGCCUCACAAGGUGUCUGAUUGAGCGGUACUAAAAAUACACCAACCGCUGAUAUUCGUAUAUAUCGUUGGCGGUCUGGUCCGCGGAUCAAUGGACCCGACCAUGUAUCCUGUUAUUGACCGUAGCUUUAUAAAACCUGAUACCCUCGAGGGAGUUUUUACUUUUAAAGUCCACAAAAAACGCAUAUCUCGGAGGUUAUACCAUAAUACUCUUCAUAACCGUUGGAUUCUCCUUAAAUAUUCACCUGUGUUUCAGUAAUCUUGGGUAAUCAGCACUUCAAUACUUACGCAUAUUGUUCCAUCUCACCGCCAAUGGCUGCCAGAAGUGGAUCCAUCUGGGCAUCACUGUACGUUGGGGCAUGAUUUGGUGGCAAGUUCUCAUAUUCCUGAAACAUUUUUUACAAUUUGAGGAGCGGUACUGUUCCUUGCAAAUAUGUAGGGUUACUUAAGGGUUUCGAAUUCUUCAAUUGUAAUUCUAAAGCCUGGAAUUAAAGGAAACCAUGAAAAAUAUAUUUCUCUCAAAUAUUAUUCUCAUAUCCUCCCCAAAUAUGCUCAUGUAUUCAAUGAACCAGGAUUCCACUAAACAAAAACCUCGUGACCAUUUUAGUUCAAACCAUCAAAUAUCAAAGACUAAUCGAGAUUUUUGUUUUAAAAUAUACAUAUGCACUGCUUUUAUUCGACGUUUGAAUAAAAUACAUAUUUAUCGUUAAUAGUUGGUACAAUUAAGCACAAAAUAUAGUUCACAUCCAAUGUCCAGAUAUAGUAUUCUUGUGUGUCAUGCACAACAACUAUUCCGGCGACUUGCAAGAACAAAUACAUGGCUAUCAGAGGACAUUUUCCCAAAUCACUGCAGAUCACUGA